CUCAAACUCUGCAUUGUGUAUUUAUCUUUAAAAUAUUCUUACAUUAAGGAAAGAUUUUAAUGUAGAAAACUGAUCUGAGAGCAGCGCUCCCUUUCUUUCCAUCCUAUCAGUAUUGAUACAUGCUCCACCAGAUGUGAUACCUUGUAGUGCUGCUGAUCCAGUUUCUACUGGUCUGACUGAGGAUAUGGAACUCUGCCCUGUUCACCAGACGUGAUACCUUGUAGUGCUGCUGAUCCACUUUCUACUGGUCUGACUGAGGAUAUGGAACUCUGCCCUGUUCACCAGACGUGAUACCUUUUGUGCUGCUGAUCCACUUUCUACUGGUCUGACUGAGGAUAUGGAACCCUGAACUGCUCACCGGACGUGUUACCUUGUCCCGAACCUGCUGUUUCGCUCUGUCUGUCUGUCUGUCUGUCUGUCUGUCUGUCUGUCUGUCUGUCUGUCUGUCUGUCUGUCUGUCUGUCUGUCUGUCUGUCUGUCUGUCUGUCUGUCUGUCUGUCUGUCUGUCUGUCUGUCUGUCUGUCUGUCUGUCUGUCUGUCUGUCUGUCUGUCUGUCUGUCUGUCUGUCUGUCUGUCUGUCUGUCUGUCUGUCUGUCUGUCUGUCUGUCUGUCUGUCUGUACCUACCACACCGGCUGUCUCGGCUAUGAAAAGCCAACUGACAUUUUCUCCUGAGGUGCUGACCUGUUGAACCCUCUACAACCACUGUGAUUAUUGUUUUACCCUGCUAGUCAUGUAUGAACAUUUUAACAUCUUGAAGAAUGAUCUGAACUUCAUGGCCAUGUACUCUUAUAAUCUCCCCCCAGCGCAGCCAGAAGAGGACUGGCCACCACUCAGAGCCUGGUUCCUUUCUAGGUUUCUUCCUAGGUUCCUUCCUUUCUGAGGAGUUUUAACUAGCCACCGUGCUUGUACAUCCGAACAUGUGCUGUUUGGCAUGAUACGAUCGUUAGACCCAAUGACGCGUUUCUGCCAAUGAGAAUCAAAUAAAAUAAAAAUGUAUUUUUCACAUGCGCUGAAUACAACAGGUGUACACUUUACCUUGAAAUGCUAACGAGCCCUUUCCCAACAAUGCAGUUUAAAAGUAAGAAAAAAAAUCUAAAAAAAGGAAAUAGUAACACAAUAAAAUAACAAUAAUGAGACUAUAAGGAGUACCAGUACUGAGUCAAUGUGCAGGGGUACCAGGUAGUUCAGGUAAUAAUGAGACUAUAAGGAGUACCAGUACUGAGUCAAUGUGCAGGGGUACCAGGUAGUUGAGAUAAUAAUGAGACUAUAAGGAGUACCAGUACUGAGUCAAUGUGCAGGGGUACCAGGUAGUUGAGGUAAUAGCACACACACACACACACACACACAGGGAGGGAGUCUUGUGAUUGUUUAAUAUUGUUUUAGGACUAUGAAAUGGAUAAAAGGAAAAGCCUAUGGAUUAUGAAAUCAACAAAAAUAAAUGUGAAAAUGGGAGAGGAGAAAUUACUAGAAACAGUGUUGUUUAACUCAGUGACCAUGACCCAUGAGUUCUUCUUACCUUUGUUCAGUAGAAAAGUCUCCCUCUCUAAACUUUAUAGGUUGACCCAUGGACUGGUCACUCUUCAUGGACACACAGCUGGGAACAGGGGAGGCUGAUCUCUCCUGCUUGAUUGGACUUCAACACAACAGAGACAAACAUUAUAUCUCCCAUCUACUCGAGCUCAGAUGGGGAAACAUAAGAUGAGAUUCAUUCCAAAAUGCUGUAUAUCCAUUUUCAGAAAUGUUGGUAAAUUAGCUUUUAUGUUUAACUUCUUACGGCUGGGUGGCAGUAUUGAGUUGCUUGGAUGAAUAAGGUGCCCAGAGUAAACUGCCUGCUACUCAGGCCCAGAAGCUAAGAUAUGCAUAUUAUUAGUAGAUUUGGAUAGAAAACACUCUGAAGUUUCUAAAACUGUUUGAAUGAUGUCUGUGAGUAUAACAGAACUCAUAUGGCAGGCAAAAACCUGAGAAAAACAUCCAACCAGGAUGUGGGAAAUCUGAGGUUUGUAGUUUUUCAAGUCUUGGCCUAUCCAAUAUACAGUGUCUGUGGGGUCAUAUUGCACUUCCUAAGGCUUCCACUAGAUGUCAACAGUCAUUAGACCUUGUUUGAGGCUUCUGCUAUGCAAUUUGAUUGAAUAACACCCGGAACAGUAAGUGGUCUGGCUGGGGUCACUUACUUACCUCAUGCACGGUCACGAAGGGGUAGCCAUUUUUCUUUUUCUUCUGUAAUGAAUACGCAAUUGUCCGGGUGGAAUAUUAUCAAAGUUUUACGUUAAAAACACACUAAAGAAUGAUUGUGAACAUGGUUUGACAUGUUUCUACGUAUGCUGAGGGAACUUGAUAACUUUUCGUCGACGGUGGAUGAACGCGCAUCAUGCAUUUUGGAAUGGCGAUCUGGAUGCGCCAACAAAAUGGAUUUAUUUGGACAUAAAUGAUGGACUUUAUCGAAUAAAUGAACAUUUCUUGUGGAAGUUGGAGUCCUUCCGAGUGCAUUCCGCCGAAGAUCAGCAAAGGUAAGAAAAUAUUUGUAUUAUAUUUUAGAGUUUUGUCGACGCCGUGGCUGGAUGGGUAACUGAACAGCUUGCAAUGAUGGCGGGGCUCUCUACUCAGAAUAUUGAACAAUGUUCUUUCUCUGUAAAGUUAUUUUGAAAUCUGACAAAGCGGUUGCAUAGUAGUUUAUCGUUAAUUCUUAAAAUAAUUGUUAUAUAUUUUGUCAAUGUUUAUGAUAAGUAUUUCUGUAAAUUGAUGUGCCCAUUCACCGGAUGUUUUGGGGGGAAUACAUUUUCUGAACGUCAAUGUAAAAUGGGGUUUUUGGAUAUAAAUAUGAACUUGAUAGAACAAAAAAUGCAUGUAUUGUCUAACAUAAUAUCCUAGGAGUGUCAUCUGAUGAAGAUCGUCAAAGGUUAGUGCAUAAUUUUAGCUAGUUUUCUGCUUUUGGUGACGCCUGUCCUUGCAUUGAACAUGGCUGUGUGUCAUUUUUUGUCUAUGUACUGUCCUAACAUAAUCUAAUGUUUUGGUUUGAUUAACCUGUUAGGGCUAGGGGGCAGUAUUGACACGGCUGGAUAAAAAACGUACCCG
rnacentral:lncRNA from 1 species